CAUAAACUAUGCCGACUAGGGAUCGGGUGGUGUUUUUUUAAUGACCCACUCGGCACCUUACGAGAAAUCAAAGUCUUUGGGU
rnacentral:rRNA from 16 species